UACGUAGGCAGCAAGCGUUGUUCGGAGUUACUGGGGCGUAAAGGGUGUGUAGGCGGUUGGAUAAGUGUGGUGUGAAAUCUCCCCGGCUCAACUGGGAGGGUGCGCUACAAACUGUCUGCUAGAGUGUGGGAUGGGUAAGUGGAAUUCCUGGUGUAGCGGUGAAAUGCGUAGAUAUCAGGAGGAACACCGGUGGUGUAGACGGCUUACUGGACCAUAACUGACGCUGAGACACGAAAGCGUGGGUAGCAAACAGG
rnacentral:rRNA from 1 species